rnacentral:tRNA from 1 species
GCCUUUGUGGUGUAGUGGUCAGCACGCUGGAAUAGUAUUCGAGAGGUCCGUGGUUCAAGUUCCGGUGAGGGCA